GAUGAACGCUGGCGGCGUGCCUAAUACAUGCAAGUCGAGCGAACGGACGAGACGCUUGCUUCUCUGAUGUUAGCGGCGGACGGGUGAGUAACACGUGGAUAACCUACCUAUAAGACUGGGAUAACUUCGGGAAACCGGAGCUAAUACCGGAUGAUAUUUUGAACCGCAUGGUUCAAAGGUGAAAGACGGUCUUGCUGUCACUACUAGAUGCAUCCCCGCUUCAUUGGCUAGUUGGUAAGGUAACGGCUUUUCAAGGCAACGAUGCCUAGCCGACCUGAGAGGGGGAUCGGCCACCUGGGAAGUGAGACACGGUCCAGGCUCCUACGGGAGGGAGCAGUAGGGAAUCGUCCGCAAUAGGCGAAAGCCUGACAGAGCGACGCCGCGUGAGUGGUGAAGGUCUUCGGAGCGGAAAACUCUGUUAUUAGGGAAGAACAUAUGUGUAAGUAACUGUGCACAUCUUGACGGUACCUAAUCAGAAAGCAACGGCUAACUACGUG
rnacentral:rRNA from 1 species